GAGGCAUACUACUCCCGUUCAAACCAGCAGGAAUGGCAGUCGGAUCUUGGAGGUAUGAUAUUUGAGGUGGGCGCUAUCCUUUAUCACUACGGGUUCGUGGUGAGUAUUCGUGAUUGAUGCUUCUACUGACAGUAUGAACAGAACGACAACACAAACACAAGACU